GAUGAACGCUGGCGGCGUGCCUAAUACAUGCAAGUCGAGCGAACAGACGAGGAUCUUGCUCCUCUGACGUUAGCGGCGGACGGGUGAGUAACACGUGGAUAACCUACCUAUAAGACUGGGAUAACUUCGGGAAACCGGAGCUAAUACCGGAUAAUAUAUUGAACCGCAUGGUUCAAUAGUGAAAGACGGUUUUGCUGUCACUUAUAGAUGCAUCGGCGCCGCAUUAGCUAGUUGGUAAGGUAACGGCUUACCAAGGCAACGAUGCGUAGCCGACCUGAGAGGGUGAUCGGCCACACUGGAACUGAGACACGGUCCAGACUCCUACGGGAGGCAGCAGUAGGGAAUCUUCCGCAAUGGGCGAAAGCCUGACGGAGCAACGCCGCGUGAGUGAUGAAGGUCUUCGGAUCGUAAAACUCUGUUAUUAGGGAAGAACAAAUGUGUAAGUAACUAUGCACGUCUUGACGGUACCUAAUCAGAAAGCCACGGCUAACUACGUG
rnacentral:rRNA from 1 species